AGAGUUUGAUCAUGGCUCAGGAUGAACGCUGGCGGCGUGCCUAACACAUGCAAGUCGAACGGAGUUACUUUGGUGAAGUUUUCGGAUGGAUCUGAUUUAACUUAGUGGCGGACGGGUGAGUAAUGCGUGAGCAACCUGCCCUUCAGAGGGGGACAACAGUUGGAAACGACUGCUAAUACCGCAUAAUGUAUUCGGAAGGCAUCUUCUGGAUACCAAAGGAGAAAUCCGCUGAUGGAUGGGCUCACGUCUGAUUAGCUAGUUGGUGAGGUAACGGCCCACCAAGGCAACGAUCAGUAGGGGUUCUGAGAGGAAGGUCCCCCACAUUGGAACUGAGACACGGUCCAAACUCCUACGGGAGGCAGCA
rnacentral:rRNA from 1 species